CAAAGGUUCUCUCAGUACGGUCGGAAAUCGUACGUAGAGUGUAAAGGCAAAAGAGAGCUUGAUUGCAAGACAUACAGGUCGAGCAAGGAUGAAAAUCGGACUUAGUGAUCCGGUGGUUCUGCGUGGAAGGGCCAUCGCCCAACGGAUAAAAGCUACCCUGGGGAUAACAGGCUUAUCUCCCCCAAGAGUCCACAUCGACGGGGAGGUUUGGCACCUCGAUGUCGGCUCAUCACAUCCUGGGGCUGUAGUAGGUCCCAAGGGUUGGGCUGUUCGCCCAUUAAAGUGGUACGCGAGCUGGGUUCAGAACGUCGUGAGACAGUUCGGUCCCUAUCCGUCGCAGGCGUAGGAAAUUUG
rnacentral:rRNA from 1 species